GUAGUCAUAUGCUUGUCUCAAAGAUUAAGCCAUGCAUGUCUAAGUAUAAGCAACUAUACGGUGAAACUGCGAAUGGCUCAUUAAAUCAGUUAUAGUUUAUUUGAUAGUACCUUACUACUUGGAUAACCGUGGUAAUUCUAGAGCUAAUACAUGCGCAAAACCCCGACUUCGGAAGGGGUGUAUUUAUUAGAUAAAAAACCAAUGCCCUUCGGGGCUCUCUGGUGAUUCAUAAUAACUAAACGAAUCGCAUGGCCUUGCGCCGGCGAUGGUUCAUUCAAAUUUCUGCCCUAUCAACUUUCGAUGGUAAGGUAUUGGCUUACCAUGGUUUCAACGGGUAACGGGGAAUUAGGGUUCGAUUCCGGAGAGGGAGCCUGAGAAACGGCUACCACAUCCAAGGAAGGCAGUAGGCGCGCAGAUUACCCAAUCCCGACACGGGGAGGUAGUGACAAUAAAUACUGAUACAGGGCUCUUUUGGGUCUUGUAAUUGGAAUGAGUACAAUUUAAACCUCUUAACGAGGAACAAUUGGAGGGCAAGUCUGGUGCCAGCAGCC
rnacentral:rRNA from 1 species